CCGGCCCCAGCACAGCCCCUGCCCCCCGGCAGGGACCGUGCCACUGCGGGGGACCUGCGGGACAGUGUGUCACACCCCUCACACACACAGCCAAGGAUUCCCGGGUGCUGGGUGCUGUCUCCAGCUCCUUUUGGCCCUCUGCUGCUUUGUCAGUCUGUUCUUCCUGGCAGGCUGGAAGCAGGGUUUAACUGUUGAAGCUCAUAGCGAUGCCACGCAGUUUUUCUCAAUUCCAGGUGAGUCAUCAUCUCGCCAGGUCUAUUUCUGACUCCCAGCAGGAAAAGCAGAAUUCAGCCCUUCAUUCCUCAAUGCCACCAGCUCAGGAACCAGCACAUUUUUCUAGGCAAAACCGAAUGGCCGUGAAGAAAAUGACAGCUCAUCUGCCCCAGCUGGAAUUUUUAGACAAUGCAAAGCACAAGGGAGCUGGGCACUGAAUGUUUGAGAUGUUACCCCAGAACAAAUCAUGACCAUUUCCAGACAGAUCAACAGAAACACAGAGCCAGCCAAUAAUGGGGAAGGAUAUUGCACCUUCCACAUUUUCCCAUCAAAUGGAGAACAGCAGCGUUUGGAAAUGGCACUUCCCACAGUGUCAGUUUGAUUUGAACAAGUUUUGUCUCUAUUUACCAUUCCACUGGAUUCCAGGGACAGGGAACAAGGACAGGAAACAAACAGAGCAGCACGCAGACAACUGCCCAAGAGCU